AGUGCUUGGUAAGCAAAUCCCACCAUCUCAAACUCCUUUCUCUGUCUUCUCCAUCUGUCACUCCUUUCAUCUCAAUCUCUCACUCCCUUUCUUCAAUUUCUAAUAUAAUCAUAAUUUUAUCCUCCUAGAAUCUCAAGUAUUGCACCUACUUCCAACAAUUUCUAUUAAUUAAACUGGUUUGUGUUUGGAAUUGAUGAUUUUCAGUAUUUUUUGUAAGUAAUUUACAUUUUAUGCGUUUCUGUAGAAUUGUUCAUAUGGAUUAACUAAUCAACUACUAAACUAGUUUAAUUUUGCUAAUUGUUUGUUGAUAAUUUGGAGGAUUUAAUUUAUUAAGGCAGAGAGUACAUAGUAGUUUAAUUCAAUGAGUGCAUUCGAUUAUAUUUUGGUGAGAAGCUCACUUAUAUGGACUUUAAACUAGCAAAAGCUAGACCCAAGUUAUAAUUCAUCUCUACCCUCAGGUCUUGCUUUGCGAGACAUUGCUAAUUCUCAUCUUUUUAUAAUGUUAGCUGACUAUUUUACAAAAUUAUAAUCGAGGAGUUAACUGGGGUGAGGAGGAUGUUGGGGCAGGCUGGCAGAGGAGGGAGACGGUGAGUGUGGAUGUAUUAUCAAUGGCGGAAACGAAGUGAAGAUUGGGGAAAGAAGAUGACGCUUAUCUCUAUUCUAUAAAGGAACAACUGAGGGUAAAUGAGUAAAUACGCUUUUGGUGUCCCCUAUGAAAUAUACAACAUUACCCUUGAUAAAUUCAUGUUUUAAUUGAAUUAAUUUAAAAAAUAAUUACGUUUUCAAACUGAAUGGUGUUGAUGGACGGUGGUAAUUAAAGCAGGAAAUUCAUCUCUAUUCUAUAAAGGAACAGCUGAGGGACAUUUUGGUAAUGUCACUUUUCGUGUCCCCCAAUUAAAAGUCAAAAAUACCCUUUAAUCUAACCUACCCUAACCCUUCCUCCCGUCUUCUCUAUCCUCUACCUCUUCUGAUUUUUUUUUGAACCAUUUUUCUCUCCGUACUUCUCUCCCUCUCUCUCCUCUUUCAUCUCGCUCAAAUUCUUUAAAUCUGGGAUAUUGAUUUCGAUCUCAAAUCCCUAGCUAGGGCCGACCGCGAGAUUGUUCUGCUCGAUAUCAUUUUAUCAACUCCCGAAGGUAAAUCCUAGCAUUUUUUUUCUUUUUUCGUCGUUAAUCUUCAUUUCCCUCUAUUUUCUAUUUCUAAAACCCUAAUUGUUGAUUCUUUGUAACGAAAUACGAGGUGUUCACGGUGGUUUCCACAAUAUGUUUAGGCUCUCUCUCUUCGAAAUCGCCGCCGCCGUCAUGCUUCACCGCAUCGUAAUGUUUCGUCGCCGCCGCCGUCAUUGAGUGAGUCGACGAAAAAGUGUAACUUGAUUGCAUGUAGUUCUUCCAGCUGAAUUAAAGUUGCUAAACUUCUUCCUAAGAAUCGCCUUCUGUCCGAGGACUUGCGGCUGAAUCAUCCUUCAAGUUUCACGAAAAACAAGAGAUAGGGUAAUGAAAGAAAAAGGCGAAACACUUGGGUAGAGUUUUGUAUUCAGGCUAUUGGUCUUUUUUGUAAGCUUCUUUGUUUGGGCCCAAUAUUUAAGCCCAAUGUUGGCCUUUAACGAGUUUACGUUAGCAUCAUUAUGUUAAGUUGCUGUCACUGCAUAAUUACU